GACGAACGCUGGCGGCGUGCUUAACACAUGCAAGUCGAACGGGCCCGCCCCUGUUUUUGGGGGUGGGUUGAGUGGCGAACGGGUGAGUAUCACGUGAGUAACCUGCCCCCUGCUCCUGGAUAACUGCUUGAAAGGGCGGCUAAUACGGGGUGUGCCGGCUGGUCCGCAUGGGCCUGGUCGGGAUAGUUUCAUCUUCGGGUGUUUCGGUGGGGGAUGGGCUCGCGGCCUAUCAGCUUGUUGGUGGGGUGAUGGCCCACCAAGGCGGUGACGGGUAGCCGGCCUGAGAGGGUGGGCGGCUACACUGGGACUGAGACACGGCCCAGACUCCUGCGGGAGGCAGCAGUGGGGGGUAUUGCACAAUGGGCGGAAGCCUGAUGCAGCGACGUCGCGUGAGGGAUGGAGGCCUUCGGGUUGUGAACCUCUUUCUCCGGUGGUGAAGGCCCUGUCCGUUGCGGCGGGGUUGACGGUAGCCGGGGAUGAAGCGCCGGCUAACUACGUG
rnacentral:rRNA from 1 species